UACGGAAGGCAGCAGUGGGGAAUAUUGCACAAUGGGCGCAAGCCUGAUGCAGCCAUGCCGCGUGUAUGAAGAAGGCCUUCGGGUUGUAAAGUACUUUCAGUCGUGAGGAAGGUGUUAAGGUUAAUAACCUUAGCAAUUGACGUUAGCGACAGAAGAAGCACCGGCUAACUCCGUGCCAGCAGCCGCGGUAAUACGGAGGGUGCGAGCGUUAAUCGGAAUUACUGGGCGUAAAGGGCACGCAGGCGGUUAAUUAAGUUGGAUGUGAAAUCCCCGGGCUUAACCUGGGAAUGGCAUUCAAGACUGGUUAGCUAGAGUCUUGUAGAGGGGGUAGAAUUCCAUGUGUAGCGGUGAAAUGCGUAGAGAUGUGGAGGAAUACCGGUGGCGAAGGCGGCCCCGUGGACAAGACUGACGCUCAUGUGCGAAAGCGUGGGGAGCAAACGAGGAUUAGAUACC
rnacentral:rRNA from 1 species